UAUUUACCAAAUAUUUUAAUGCUACUAUAACUAUUACCACAUAACCAAACAUGAGUUUCAUUUAUUGUGAGCUCCUCGGGUAAGAAAGAACCAUGAACCUCCUCUGUAUCAGCUGUCGAAAAGCAACUACAUAUUACUGUGAUACUUAGUUUUAAUUCAAUGUUGUUAAAUUGCAAAUCAAAUUUGAAUUGAAAAACCGUUAAAAAAUCAAAAUUCUUUUCUGCAUUCUUACUUUCUUCUUUUUGGGCCCAUCCCGUUUAAUGUUUAGAGAUUGUCAGAAUACUUUGGGUUGGACUAUUGGCUUACACGUGCUGACCUUUUCAUUGUCCAUUUAAAAAUAAUAACGUGAUUUUGCAACAAGAAAUGAAAAACGAAGUGGUUGAAGCCGCUAUCACGCUGCCGGACCAAUCCGUCCAAGUUCCAACCAUUCGGUUGGUCAAAUCUGAUAGACAUUUCUAACUAAGUAAUGACACAGUUGAGAAUAUCUUUCCAAAAACACGUGUCUCGUAAAAUCAAGGGGGGUAUAUACGUGUGUGCGUGUGAAUUAUAUUCAGUUGUUCACCACAGGUGGACAUUUUACUAGGAAAUUUACACCAAUAACCAUAAAAAUUUUGACUUUUUCCAUCUUAACCCCCUAAACAAACUUCUAUCAACAUUAGCCAUAAAAAACCCUUUGAGACCAAAAUACCCCUCUCUCUCAUCUCUCCCCCAACAAUCUCUCUUUCUCCCAUCUCUCCCAAUCCGAAGAACCUCCCAUCGUCGGCGGCAACUUCAAUUUCUUAAACAAACGUAACAAUAGUUUAAUUUUAUUAAUGUUAUCCCCUUCUUCAUUUUCCUUCGACCUUUGAAGCCAUGUUCUGUUAUGCUAUGAUUACGAAUGAAGAAACAAAACGACGCCUCGCUGCAACCGAUGCUCCAAAAAUGUUUAUUUUCCUGUAAUUGAAUUGAUUACGGUGUAAUGUUUUAUUAUAAGCGCAACUGGCGGUAGCUGGUAACUGGUCACGUUUACGUAAAUAUAGCCGAUAUAUUCGAGCUGCCGAUGUGGAUCUUGAAGCGGAAUAAGCUGACUUUUGUUUGUUCCAAUCUGUCACCCAACAGCUUGCGUUUUACGAGAAGUUUAUUACUUAAAUAAUUAAACAUUACGAGACGAUUACGAACUCACAAUUACGUGUAUAGUUAGUUACUCAACAGUCACAGAUAUAAACUAUCAAGAUCUUCUGGAAAUGUAACUCAGUAACAGUAUGGUGGUCAUGUGACAACUUUACAGAAGAUCGUAACAUAUGAUAAGCUUUAUAUGUUCGUAAAAAAUAUGAAUUACAUAUAAAGUUAACAGAAGAUCCCAAUUACAAUAAUAUUAGUUGUUGGCCAUAUGACAGUAAGUCAGUAACUAACAAACUACUAAGCAAAACGUGCUGUACAAAGGAGAAUCCGUGAGCUGUUUGUGCAGUGCAACUUUUGAGAACACACAAUGCCCACAUGGAAGGAAGAAGCAAUCCCUUGGAGCAUCAAAGCAAAUUGCACAAAGAUGCCGGGAAUUGCACAAAUUGCACAGGUGCCUGUCGCACCAAAACUUGGUGCGACAGGCAAGUUUCGUACGACAGGCAGCAUGUCGCCAGAUUCACCCUCGACUUGCAGUUACUGAAACUCUCGAGCAAGUUCAGAAAAUAACUCAUACCACUAUGUGUUGCCGAUUAAUAUUGGAUCCGAAUAGAUUAUGAUCGGAUUUCACUUUUAUCGUUGCCUUUUGCCAUCGCCGUUGGUUGAUGAUUCAAGAGUGGAAAGCUGCCUUUGGUUUGACGAAAUGGGAGAAACAAAAUUGCUUUUGGUUUGUAAAGAAGGGUAAUUUGGGGAGAAAAGCGUGUGUUUGACUAAUGUUGAUAGAAAAAAGUUGAGAGGAUUAAUUGUGAAAAUAGCAAAAGUUUUAUGGUUAUUUUCGUAAAUUUCUCCAUUUUACUCUCGAUGAAAUUAAUUGACUUACUUUGAUUUAGGUAUUGAUUUUUAAGUCACAUCUUCAAAUAAAUAAAUAAAUAAAUUGAAAGUACGUGUGUGUAUAUAAUACAAUUUGAGCAUCUAAAGACGUAAUUUAGUAAUUUUUAAGUAGGUUAUGUAUAUAUUUAUAAUGAAAUUUAACAACACAAAAUAAAUCAACUGAGAUAUCGAUUGAUAUUAUAGUUGUAUAAUUACAGUAUUAACAUCAACUUUUAUGAUGUAGAAACUAAAUUAAUUAUAUUUCAUAUAUACAUAUA
rnacentral:lncRNA from 1 species